CGGACGGGUGAGUAACGCGUGAGAAUCUGCCCUCAGGAGGGGGAUAACGGCUGGAAACGGCCGCUAAUACCCCAUAUGCCGCGAGGUGAAAUGAAUUUCGCCUGAGGAUGAGCUCGCGUCUGAUUAGCUAGUUGGUGGGGUAAAGGCCUACCAAGGCUUCGAUCAGUAGCUGGUCUGAGAGGAUGAUCAGCCACACUGGGACUGAGACACGGCCCAGACUCCUACGGGAGGCAGCAGUGGGGAAUUUUCCGCAAUGGGCGAAAGCCUGACGGAGCAACGCCGCGUGAGGGAUGAAGGCCUCUGGGCUGUAAACCUCUAUUUAUCAAGGAAGAAGAUCUGACGGUACUUGAUGAAUAAGCCACGGCUAAUUCCGUGCCAGCAGCCGCGGUAAUACUGGAGUGGCAAGCGUUAUCCGGAAUUAUUGGGCGUAAAGCGUCCGCAGGCGGUCUUUUAAAGUCUGUCGUCAAAGCGUGGAGCUUAACUCCAUUUCUGCGAUGGAAACUGGAAGACUAGAGUGUGGUAGGGGCAGAGGGAAUUCCACGGUGUAGCGGUGAAAUGCGUAGAUAUCGGUAAGAACACCAGUGGCGAAUCGGCGCUCUGCUGGGGCCAUAACUGACGCUCAUGGACGAAGCCAUGGGGAGCGAAAGGGAUUACAUACCCCUGUAGUC
rnacentral:rRNA from 1 species